ACACGUGGGUAACCUGCCUUAUAGUGGGGGAUAGCCUUUCGAAAGGAAGAUUAAUACCGCAUAAGAUUGUAGUAUCGCAUGAUAUAGCAAUUAAAGGAGCAAUUCGCUAUAAGAUGGACCCGCGUCGCAUUAGCUAGUUGGUGAGGUAAUGGCUUACCAAGGCGACGAUGCGUAGCCGACCUGAGAGGGUGAUCGGCCACAUUGGGACUGAGACACGGCCCAGACUCCUACGGGAGGCAGCAUG
rnacentral:rRNA from 1 species